rnacentral:pre_miRNA from 1 species
AGUGAAAUUGCUGGAUCAUGUGGUAACUACCUGCUUAAUUCUUUGAGGACUUGGCAUAGUGUUUUCCACAGUAGCUGUAUUAUUUUAAACUCCCAUCAGCUAU